GAUGAACGCUGGCGGCGUGCUUAACACAUGCAAGUCGAACGGGAAUUACUUUAUUGAAACUUCGGUCGAUUUAAUUUAAUUCUAGUGGCGGACGGGUGAGUAACGCGUGGGUAACCUGCCUUAUACAGGGGGAUAACAGUCAGAAAUGGCUGCUAAUACCGCAUAAGCGCACAGAGCUGCAUGGCUCGGUGUGAAAAACUCCGGUGGUAUAAGAUGGACCCGCGUUGGAUUAGCUUGUCGGUGGGGUAACGGCCCACCAAGGCGACGAUCCAUAGCCGGCCUGAGAGGGUGAACGGCCACAUUGGGACUGAGACACGGCCCAGACUCCUACGGGAGGCAGCAGUGGGGAAUAUUGCACAAUGGGGGAAACCCUGAUGCAGCGACGCCGCGUGAAGGAAGAAGUAUCUCGGUAUGUAAACUUCUAUCAGCAG
rnacentral:rRNA from 1 species